UACGUAGGUGGCAAGCGUUGUCCGGAUUUACUGGGCGUAAAGAGCGCGCAGGCGGUCGGAUAAGUCGAAUGUGAAAGCCCCCGGCUCAACUGGGGAGGGUCAUUCGAUACUGUUCGACUCGAAGGCAGGAGAGGGAAGUGGAAUUCCCAGUGUAGCGGUGAAAUGCGUAGAUAUUGGGAGGAACACCAGUGGCGAAGGCGGCAUCCUGGACCGGUAUUGACGCUGAGGCGCGAAAGCCAGGGGAGCAAACGGG
rnacentral:rRNA from 1 species